ACUCCUCAUUUUUGGACAACAAUGACAAGGACAAAGGCGACUGGGAGUCUGAUGAUGACUGGGAUGCCUUUGAUGAUGAAAAAGACGAUCGAGUGCACGAACUGGGAACAGAUUCAGCAGUGGAGAAGACCAAUGCGAUUUUUUACCGCGGACGUAUCUCCCAAUUCUGGCUAUGAAAAGACCAAUAAUCUUUGCAUCAGCAAGGAAAGACUAACAGGCUUACUGAAAUGGUACUCCACUGGUACAGGACAGGAGGGAGAAAAAUGUCUCGAGAUCCCUUCAGCUGGACAACAUCAAAGGAGAGGUGACAUUCAUCCAACAACAAGGUUCACAAAAUGCCCUAGUGCUCACUGGACAUGUCCCUGGAUUUAAACGUGAUGAUCUACAGCCCCUGCCUUCAGUUCACACUGCCACCAAGGUCAACCAAAGCUACAAAGAUGUUCUUCUUGGGACAGAGAAGAACUAUUGGACCAUCAAGCAC